GCCAAGGUUUUGCUAAAUUGAAACACGACUGUACAUAGCUCCUGAACUGGAGUGGUCAAUCUCAUUUUGACACACGCACCGAUAAGUCAAGUACUUGACUACACCCAGCAGCCUUCCGUCACUGAAUUAGAAAUUCAGGUAGUCCAGUGCCUAAGUGCAAUGAGUUGCUUGCAAGUCACCAUGGCGGUCUCAGGUCAGAGAGACAGUUAUACCCAUAUCCCAUC
rnacentral:lncRNA from 1 species